rnacentral:rRNA from 1 species
AUUGAACGCUGGCGGCAGGCUUAACACAUGCAAGUCGAGCGGAGAUGAGGUGCUUGCACCUUAUCUUAGCGGCGGACGGGUGAGUAAUGCUUAGGAAUCUGCCAUUUAGGGGGGGACAACAUUCCGAAAGGAAUGCUAAUACCGCAUACGUCCUACGGGAGAAAGCAGGGGAUCCUCGGACCUUGCGCUAAAUGAUGAGCCUAAGUCGGAUUAGCUAGUUGGUGGGGUAAAGGCCUACCAAGGCGACGAUCUGUAGCGGGUCUGAGAGGAUGAUCCGCCACACUGGGACUGAGACACGGCCCAGACUCCUACGGGAGGCAGCAGUGGGGAAUAUUGGACAAUGGGCGGAAGCCUGAUCCAGCCAUGCCGCGUGUGUGAAGAAGGCCUUUUGGUUGUAAAGCACUUUAAGCGAGGAGGAGGCUACUAGUACUAAUACUACUGGAUAGUGGACGUUACUCGCAGAAUAAGCACCAGCUAACUCUGUGCCAGCAGCCGCCGCCGUAA